rnacentral:lncRNA from 1 species
UCACGGAUGGAUGUUUCGAAUUAAUGACCAUGACGUAGCGAGCGGAGGUGAGGUGUGAUUUUUACCCAAAGAAAAGAAAAGAGAAGGUUAGGUGUGAGGGUUUUAGCCCGUUGGCAUUCUAUUACCUAACAAGCCAUCAUGAUAGUUUCUUCAAUUAAGGCACCACUACGGUAGCUGCUUUCCAGCCUUCAGGCAACAUUUUAGGCAUGCAUGGUUUAUGAGCUAUGAUGUCAGGGC